GUAUAAAUUACACAUGAAAAUUUGGGUUUACAGUAUUUAAUUUAGUUUGUAGAUUUGGCAUUUUACCAUUUAUUAAAACUUUUUUCUAAUAAAUUAUGGUUAUUUGUUAAAAAUAUGUAGUUUCCUUGAAUGAAGGAGAGAUACAUCAGUUAUGAUUUUGAACCUCCUCUCCCAUUUUAUCCUGGGUCGGGAACCCCCCUUUUGAAAAUGUCUGGAUCUACCCCUGCACCUAUAAGGAAGAAGUGAUAAGAACUUAGUUUAAGUCUUUGGUUUGACAAGGGCAAGGAACAAACUAAGGACGAACUGCACCCAAACAUUACCUAGGUGGUGUACAUGGUUCAUGAAAGAGUAAAUUAUUAAUAAAAGUAUAAGAAUAUUGGAGGAAAAAUUAUUAAUGAUGAGAGCUGGUAGAAUUGGACUGUUUUCAUGUGAAUCCUAUUCAUUGCCUUUUUUCUGUGGCAGUCAUGUCAUCAGACAUACAUAACAGCCCAUGUAGAUUUUGCUUUUUCCACCUGCCCACAGUGGACAGUCCACUUGUGCCCACUUUAGCCAUAAUCUAUUAAUUUUUUUAAAAUAUUAAUUAUAAAUGCUUAUCUGCUUUUUUAAAUUGAUUGUACUUGCAAGUCUUUUGAUUCAACAAAAGAAAUUGCAUGCCCACUCCUAUUGGUGGGCAAAGUGGACAAGCUAGAAAUUUUGCCCACCAGUGCCCAUUCCCACUGUGGGUGGGUGGACAAAUCCACUUGAGCUGUUGCGUACCUUUGAAAUCUGAUAAUCACAGAACUCAUCAUUUUAUUUAGUCUUUUAAUCAUUAUUAAUUGUUUUGACCCAUUUUUUGCAACAGGU
rnacentral:lncRNA from 1 species